UACGAGGGGCCCAAGCGUUAUUCGGAUUUACUGGGCUUAAAGAGUUCGUAGGCGGUUCGGUAAGUGAGGUGUGAAAGCCCUCGGCUCAACCGAGGAAUUGCGCUUCAAACUGCCGGGCUCGAGGGAGAUAGAGGUGAGCGGAACUGAUGGUGGAGCGGUGAAAUGCGUUGAUAUCAUCAGGAACACCAGAGGCGAAGGCGGCUCACUGGGUCUUUUCUGACGCUGAGGAACGAAAGCUAGGGGAGCAAACGGG
rnacentral:rRNA from 1 species